UACGUAGGGGGCGAGCGUUGUCCGGAAUUAUUGGGCGUAAAGGGCGUGUAGGUCGGCCGAUCAAGUCAGGUGUGAAAUUCCAGGGCUCAACCCUGGUACUGCAUUUGAAACUGUGUAGCUUGAGUACAGGAGAGGAAAGUGGAAUUCCCAGCGUAGCGGUGAAAUGCGUAGAUAUUGGGAGGAACACCAGUGGCGAAGGCGACUUUCUGGACUGUAACUGACGCUGAGGCGCGAAAGCGUGGGGAGCAAACAGG
rnacentral:rRNA from 1 species